AAGGAAAAAAGAGAGAGGGAGGGAGGGAGGGAGAGAGGGAAGGGGAGAGAGAGCAGGGAGGAGGGAGAGAAGGGAGAGAAAGAGGAGGAGGAGGUGGGGAAAGACCUGGCUGAAAUGACACGCACAUGCAUACACAUGCAUCCGGCAUCGGCAGCUGUGAGUGAGUCCAUGAGAGGCUGACAUUGACAUUCCCUCUGCAUCUCCUUGUCUUCUGGAGGCACAGAUGAGGGAAGGGUGAAAGGAGGCAAGAAGAGGCGGAGUGGAAUGGGAAGACACAGUCCUUGUCACGAAGGAGGCAUCUAUCUCGAUGGAUCAAGAGAAGUCGGGACCGGAGCCGAGCCGAGCCACAAAAAUAAGAAAUAUAUAGAUGUACAUAGCCUCUCCUCAAAGUUACUCAGCAAGAAUUCUGCUAAUUUCUGCUGUGAACAAAAGACAAACUUACAGGAAAGCAUCACAUCUCGUGUUCUGGCCUUUUUAUUUUAUUCAGAUCCUGAAGACAUUCUCAUUUCCUCUCAUAUAUCUGGGACAGCAUUUUAAAGAAAGGAACACCAUGUUUCCAUGCUGUCAAUUCUGUGGAAUUCUGUGGCUUUUCAGUAGUUCCAGAGUAAGGAAGACUCUCAUAAUCUGAACAAUGACUGCCAACCUUCUUUCCAGACAAAUGAAGUUGUGGACUCCUUUAUGGCUUGUGUCCAGCCAUAGUUCCUCCUGACCUUUCCAAGAAGGCCUCACAAAGACAUCUCUAAUUCAGUAGCACGCUUAUAAAGAGUAUAUUGACAACUUUAUCAGCAACGGAACAUGGAGAGCUCUUAAAACUUCAUACUUCAUUUAUGAAUGCUCAUUUCUAAGGACACUUCAGUAAUGACACCUUUAACAAUGCCUCUAACGUCCUUUUCAAUGGCACCUCUUCUCCUCAAAGAGAAAAUGCUGUCAGUUCUAUAGAACUACAAGUGGAUGUACCAGGAUAGCAACAUUUAUUGUACUCACUAUAUAUGUCUUGUGUGACAAUGAACGUCCAUGAGAGCCAUCAGCAUGUUAUGUCUCCAAUAGAUAACACAGGGUAAAAAAAUGAAAAUAAAAAAGAUUCUCUUAAUUCAAGCUCAAGAGAUCCAAGAUUCAACAAAUACUGGGUAAAAUGAGCAACUUUAUUUAAAUACGUUUCUUUUUGCCAUGAAUUUUUAAUUUCUCCAUAGACCAAGGCCAGGUCCAUCAAACAGCAUGUGUGCUGGUAGACGUCUCUAUUCUACUUGUCCUCCCACAGGGAAAAGAUAUUCAGGCAGCUAAUUAAGUACUAAAGGUCAUCAGCUUCUGGUCCAAUCAGAUCUAUUUUAUGGUACAUACCUCUACAAGUGCCUCAAGAUUAGGAGAAGUUAGGAUUCAAUAUCCCACCUUUCUUCCAGCCAGAUUGUAGCAGGCUUCAUGUGUACUUGCUCACAUUUGCUGGUUUCUGUCUCCAUCCAUUGUUCUUCCUUCUGGAUUGGCUUUUUCUCUACCAU
rnacentral:lncRNA from 1 species